CUUUUAUUUUCUGUCUUCUUUGCCUUCAAGUGUCAAUUGGCUCCUCUCAGUCACAGCUGUACAAAUCACAGGAUUUUUUUUUUUAUUGGCAUAAGACAUAUGCAUUAUUCAUCUAUUCAGUUUCAUCUGAAGGAAAUCCAAAAAAGACACAACUUUACCUUCCAAAGAAAUAUUUAAAGCUGCUUUUUCCCUGCGAGAAAGUAGGCAGAAAACUUCAUCCAUGAUCUACGUCCCCAUGUUCAACCCAGCUCUCCAUGAUGGGAGAAUUAAGUCCUUGACAGCAACCAUCAACCACUAAUGAAAAGAGCAAAAACAGAAGAUGUGAGAUCCAAGCUCUCUCUCAGAAGAUAAAAGUUACCUUAUAAAAGAGACAGUCGUGGUUUUAUAAGCAAAACAGGACUUUCUCAACAUCUCACAGCCAUCUCAUUAGCCAAUGCUCUCUCAUCACGAGUGAUCGUGGUUAUUUAGCGUCAGAAGCAAAAUAUGGGAGAUCUGUCUGCAGGCAAGUGGAGACAAGGCAUAAGAAAGGAAGAGCUAGGUGUGUGAGGAAAAUGCUGAAGUGGACAUACUUUAGUGCCUGAUUCAUAAGGACGAAAAGGCAUCGACUCGAGCAGAGAUGUAACCCCUUCUGGGUGGGAUGCCCAAUUCCCAGAAAACAUUUAUUGAGCAUCUACUUGAUGCCCAGCAUUGUGCUAGGUGCUGGGGAUGCAAGAACAAUCGUGGUGGACUGCUCCCUGUCCUCAUGCAAUCAACAGGAAUCCUGUUACCAGAAGCAGCAGAGGAAAAGGGACCCUAGGAGAUCAUCAGCUGGAAGACUGCAGGAUUACAGCUGCCUCAGUCCGGAUCCCAACGGCACAACUACUUCCAAAACUGUCUCCCGGUGAGGCAGCUAAGAUGCGGAGAGAAGAAAUGGGGAGUCAGGAGCUCCAGCCCUGUGUGUCCAGGGUACGUAUGUAAAAAGGCAACCUAAAUUCAGAUUUAAAGCUUCUUGUUGCCCAGGAUGUGCUGGACGCAGACAUCAAGCAUGGGAGGUAGAUAUCCUCCCUGCUUUUCAGAUGAGGAAACUGCCCAUCAGAAAGUCAAGCGACGCCCCGUGCACGCCUGGUUGGUGCCGGAGGCAGGAUGGAAAGCCUGGUCCUGCUGACUCCAGGACCUUCCUCUCCCCACAGGGGCUUGUAACAUGCCCCAAAAUCAACAAAUAAGCCAAAAAUAAAUCCAAUCUCAAAGCAAAAAUAGUCUUUCUUUUUCUAGUUUCCUCCAGUUGUGAAAGAAAAACAAGACUUUGGAGUUCCAUUUAUAAGGAUAAAAUUUCCUGUGAUUUGUGAAAAUGGUAAAAGUAUAUACAGCUGUAUAAGGUCUCACCGUGGCACCUGAGUCCGGCAUGUUUCCUUACUUGAUAUACACGUCUUCCUUUGUCCUGCACUUCACAUUUGAUCUACAAGACGUAAAUUCUUCGAGGGAUAAAAGACUUGGUGAGCACAGAAUCAAAAACCAAUAAAGGGAUUUUUUUGUUUUUUUUUUAAAUGUUCUUGCUAACAUAGAAAGGCUUACAGGUAGACCACUCAACCUAACAUGAUGCCCUGUGAGGUGUCGGGUAUAAGGUGAGCAAGUGGGCUCUGUGAAAACAACUCCAAGAUGCAGAGGAAAAGAACUCUGGAGUGAGGUGCUGUGAACAACGCUCUUAGCAAACAGAAUUAUUUUUGAUGUUGUUUCCACCUGGCUGAUGAUUGUUUUAGAGCAAGUCUCCUGUCACGGCCUGGCAUUGGAUCUGCAGAAUUCCUUAACAGACACUGGGCCGGCAGGCAGGAAGACAUCACACGCCCGGCGAAGAUACAAAACGUCCGGGGCAUUGCCAUGACUCUCAAGGUGUUGUUUAGAGUUCAUGUGAGUACUUCUAAAAAUACGAUGGGAUGGCCUUUCCGAGCUUGUUUCCUUUAGAUGCUAGACCAUCAAUCAACAGACGAGAAACAGCUAUUAGAAGAUAAGUUUGAGAAAAAUGUACAAUAUUUAAUCAGUCCUUACUGUGUGGUUUUUCUGUGCUGAAUCUCCCAUUCAACAUUCAGCCCCAAAUUCUAC
rnacentral:lncRNA from 1 species